AUUGAACGCUGGCGGCAGGCCUAACACAUGCAAGUCGAGCGAGCGGCGGACGGGUGAGUAAUGUCUGGGGACUGCCCGAUAGAGGGGGAUAACUACUGGAAACGGUGGCUAAUACCGCAUACUAUCGGAUAACCCAUAUGGGAUUAGCUAGUGGGUGGGGUAACGGCUCACCUAGGCGACGAUCUCUGGCUGGUCUGAGAGGAUGAUCAGCCACACUGUCACGGAGACACAGCCCAGACUCCUACGGAGGCAGCAGUGGGGAAUAUUGCACAAGUGGCGCAAGCCUGAUACAGCCAUGCCGCGUGUAUGAAGAAGGCCUUAGGGUUGUAAAGUACUUUCAGCGGGGAGGCGUUACCAGCAGAAGAAGCACCGGCUAACUCCGUGCCAGCAGCCGCGGUAAUAC
rnacentral:rRNA from 1 species